UAUCGACGCAGAAUUGUGGGCGUUGUGCCGGUGGAAUCGAUAACCAAACGAAAUUCGCUGAAGUAACCAGCCUUGGAAUCACCACCAACAAACGUCACCGCCAUCAGGAAACUACCAAGAACACCUGUUCGCAACAACACCCGAAAAUCAUCAAUCAUGUUUGUUACGACUACACCGAGCUAAUGAUGGAGUCUCUACGCGUGGCCUUGCCGCAUGUUAGAAAUAGCAGCCAAAUCGCUUUAAAUCAUAUCCUACCUUUGUCUAAAGACGAUAAGGUUGAUGUAGGACUUAAACGAUAACGACCUACACCUGAACACACGCCGGAUAAGGUGACCUUGUUUCCUUGUUCAUAGGAAAAAAGACAGGAUAGCCACGGCUGGAAUACAUAUGAUCGUUGAUCUGUUUGACCAGGGUCGACCUGGGGUUAAAUAAUAACAAUGAUCACUACUGCAUCGUUGACUUCAGCAAACAGCAUUGUUAACAUCAUUAUUACAACCACCACCACCACCACCGCAACAACAACAUUAACUAACAUCACUGCCAACGUUGCUGGCUCUGAUUGAGCAGACUUAUGAUCAAAAACGUUCCAUCCACGACAGUCCCGCAGGAUUACGUUAUAGAACGUGUUCCGUCUUUUUCAAAAUGUGCAUUGAACUUGUUGUAAUAGAUGAAGAAUCGUUAUUCUCAUAAUUAAGAUUGGCUGAAUGAAUCUGAAUCAAAGGCAUCAUUAAACCAAGCAGCUUCCAUUAAAUGAAGUUUGGAUUUUUAAACAAAUUCCAGUCACUUAUCAAAAUCAAGUAAAAAAGAGAAUCCAAAUUAAAAAGUAAGU